GUUCUGACAAUUAAGUGUCGCUAGGUAUCCAAUUGUUUGGUACUAAAGUAGAGAAAGAAGCGUAUAAAGAGAGUGCACUAUCCUUUGUUGAGCGCAAGGCGUUUAUGACUUUAAGAUCUUAUAUCGGCGGCAAAGAGCCGGCACUGUUGAUGUUCAAUUUAGAGAGGCGCUCUCGCACACUUCAGCUCUACAGCCUCCACUUAUUUUGUUCCACAGAGAGAGCGAUUUACAGCCAAUAUAGCGCACUUAACCAGUUAAACCAUUAGCGCUAUGAUUAAUGUGAACAAAGAAUCAGAUAAUUCUUUAUGGAUUCGUUCUCCCACAACAGAGGCGUUUUCUAAACCACAUCAAAUGUGCGAUAUAACCACAAACAGAAGGUCGACUCAGCCAAAAAAGCAUAACCGCUGCUACGCAAUGAUUCGUCAUC